rfam:Nosema ceranae BRL01 Nc002678, whole genome shotgun sequence.
GUACGAGAGGAACUCUAAGUGAUGACCACUGGUAGUGCGAUUAACUAUUAAGUUAUGUUGCUUAGCUACGUCAUUUCGAUUAAGGCUGAAAGCCUCUUAAGCCUGAAGCGUAGCUCAAGGAUAUUUUUUUGAGAAUACUACUCUUUUAAGCAGAACUGUAAGAAUGAAGGUGUAUGCCGACAUUUUGAGGUUACUGCUUUCUUGUUAACAAAGUAGGUUAUA